rnacentral:lncRNA from 1 species
CGACCAACGGAACGUUUUGCAGUAAUACCAGCAGCGCAGCGAUACUAAGGCACCCGCCUGGAAACAGCAGUUAUUGGGACACUGUUAAGGUGACAGCAAAUAUAUUCGGAGCAAAGUAUUUCGUCAACUUUACGGAGGAGGACAUGAUGAAAAUGAACGAGACCUUCUCGCAUUGUCAUGUGAAUAAAUCAAGUGCAUAAGCGAGAAACCAUGAGGAGGUCACGAAGAGGUUUCAUAACGCACAAUCUCCUUGGCAUUGCGUAGCAACAGUUGAUGAAACAUGUCCAGAGGUAUGGAGGUUACUGAAAAUAAAGAUAUCGACGAAGUAUUAGUGUAUGUAUUAGUCAUAUAUUAAUCUGAGGUACCCUAUGCACUUGAGCAACUUCUAUGUGGAAAAGGAAUAAACGUUUUUGUGAAACA